CAGUAAACGCGCUUACACGAGCGAGAAACGGAGGUGUGUGACAAGAUCUCCCUAUUCUGCGCCUGGACGUCCAAACCUUGAAGAGAAACAAAGUCAUAGUAAAAUACAUUUUAAAAAUCAAGACAAGGAAAGGGAGACCGUUUCAAGGAGGAAUGCUAACGGAUCACUUUGCACCGGCAAACGCUCACACUACUCUGAUCAAUUUGUAAUAAUUCAGCCGCCGCUUUCACACGGUGAAGGCAAUGCGUAAAGUUGCAUUCAGAAGUUGGUGAAAGUUGUCAUCCUGGUGAGCAGAUAAUAGGACGGAGAUGUUCAGUCCAUUAUGGGGUUUCUAAUGUGGAUGUAGAAUAGAAAUCUUGGAAGAGUCUCCGGAUGACCGACGCAUUUUGGAUGUUACCUUUCUUUGGGGCUAUUCUCUGAGAUUCCUUAGAGGCGGUUGCAAUACAAAACAAUAAAAAAGGAUUCCUCUCAGGUGGCACAUCUGCCAUGUUUGGAUGGAUUAGAUUUUUACUAUAACCAAGAUUAUCAAGAAAUCUUUUUUGUUGUUGUGGUUUUUCUUUAUUAUUGUGUCUGAUCCAAACGACAGCUGAAAUUUUAGUACAACUGUCCAACUCACCUUCGGAAUUACAAUCAUGAACAUUGGCAGUUUUGUACAAUUAUUAUUUGCAGCGCUUCUUCAGCUUCAUUUGUAUGCAGUUAAGACAGCCCACAUACCCAAGAACGGGGAGAAGAGUAAAAAUGACGUGGUCCCGUUCAUGGACGUGUAUAACAAGAGCAUGUGUCGGACACGGGAGAUGCUGGUGGACAUCUUCCAGGAGUAUCCAGAUGAGAUUGAGCACACCUACAUCCCCUCGUGCGUGGUGCUCAUGCGCUGCGCCGGAUGCUGCAACGACGAGGCGCUCGAGUGUGUCCCCACGGAAACAAAAAAUGUUACCAUGGAGGUAAUACAAGUGAAACAGAGAGUAUCGCAGCAUAAUUUUCAGUUAAGUUUCACAGAACAUCGAAAGUGUGAAUGCAGACCAAAGCCAGAAGUUAAGGCAAAGAAAGAAAAGGGCAAUGACCAAAAGAGAAAGAGAAAGAAAGAGAGAGACACUGGCACGAUGAGGUCUGAGGCCUAUGCCAGCGCCUCUUCUGUGGCGUGUCUGCACAUGGGCACUAUGUCUCUCUUGACGGUUGGCUUGAUUUUGGAGGAACUUGUUUGUAUCUUGUAAAAUGCAAACCUCUUUUUGUUUGGCAUGAGGAGGCUCCAUUUUUUUAAAGAAACCUUUUUUUGUCUGGCGUAUGCACCACUUAAGUCCGUGGCGAGGGCAGUAAUGUGAGUAACGUGAGUGAGAACUGUCAGGUAAUGAUGAUGAUGUCUGUAUGAAGCAUGGCUGUCUACCACCCCCUCACUAAUCCAUGGCAGCAGGGUCGAUGCCAUGUUGAGGCUACUUGCUGCUAGGAGUUUGUUCUCUGUUUCUCUGUUGCCUUUUGUUUUAGCAGACAGGUGGAUGAACCAACACUAUUGUCUUAAAUUUCUACCACAAUAGUGCCAAUUGGUUUGGUUACUUUAAGUACAGACAGGCUUGGCUCAGUUUAUGUUUGAUAAGAGUUAUUGUCACCUUGAGUGGUAACCCCGAAAAGGGCUGCUUUGUUCAUGCUUUUAGACGGGAAGGUCUUGAACGUGACGCAGACGUGAUCUGACCUCACAGAGCUAGUAGAAAUACUGCCAACUGAGUUGUCUGUAACAAAGCGUAGCUUCAUCUCGUCUAGUGCAUCACAGCACUCCCCUGUCUCUGUCAUUGUUUUGUCUCACAUGUUCACCUCCAUAAAAGAUACUGCAUCUUUAAGCACCAGCGAUGGCAUCUACUUUGACUUUAAACUAGGCUAGUGAAAAUAAUACGAUUAGAUUGUCUUUGAUCUGUAUUUUAUAAUCCUUACAUUGUGCUUGAGCCUGCGCUUACUCAGCCAAGCCAUCAUUCUAAUGUCAUCCUAACAUCCCAUUAAUUUGUGGCAAUCAGGUGAGCAUGUCUGUAGGGUAAUUGUAGUGGGAAAUAUAGGCAGAUUUAGGGAGGGAUGGUUUUUAAAGAUGGCUGCUCCCUUGUGAGCAUGUCAUUGGAUGGAUCGGGAAGCAAAUGCUAUGUGUUCUUUGUUUCUGCUGUGGACUUUCCCUUAUCACAUGCACCUGUUUUGUGUGUCUGUGUGUGUGGUUGUUAGUGUGUAUGUGUGUGUGUGUCUACAUGAUCAUGGGUGUAUAAGUGCAAAUGUUCUCAUUCAAUGUUGCUUUUCAUAUACCCAAUCACACAUGUGCUUGUCAUGCCAUUAGAGAGGAUGAAUGAAAGAGUGUGAGUGUAUGCAGGCAUGAUGAGGCACGUGUGUAGAAAAGUCUUUACAUGUGCUCUCUUUCUAACCCGAUCACAAUGCUCCACAACCUCAACCUCACAACCUUCACACCACCCAGCGGCUGCAGAAGUAUUGAGCUAAUGUUGCUCAAAUGUUCGUCCAAUGUUGGUGUGUUGGGGCGGGGGCUCUAUAGCUGGAUACGCUCUAUAGCUUAGACCUCUCUCUCUCUCUCUCUCUCCCUUUUUGCUUCCCUUGCAGCCACUGUGAGCCUUGCUCAGAGAGAAGAAAGCGCUUGUUUGUGCAGGACCCUCUCACCUGUAAAUGUUCCUGCAAAUUCACACAAUUAGACUGCAAGUCAAGACAACUUGAGUUAAACGAAAGAACUUGCAGAUGUGACAAACCAAGGAGAUGAGAUGAGAUGAGGAGAGGGAGAGUGGGACAAUGAAAUGAAGGAAUAUUUUCUUGGCACAGCACUUUGAAACCUGAGGACGCAUUCCCUGGAUGGACAGAAAAUUACAACGCAAGAAAGAAUGAGCAAUCGAGAACGAUGGAGAGAGACUGAGAUAACAACAUGCUGUUGUAUAUUUCUAAGAUAUAUAUAUAUAUAUAUAAAUAUAUAUUCUAAAAGGACAAUGACAAUGUGUAUUGCUGCUAUGAAAAAUGAAACAUUAUAAAGUGAACGAAUGCGCCACUGUCUGGCGUGUGAAUUGGACAAAUGUUUAGUUGCCAGGGUGUUUGGGCCUGAACGUGGAUAGGACUGAGAGUUUGUCAGAAUACAUUUUAUUUUAUUUAACACUUCACUGGAUCUUGGUCUGCUGUGGAUAUGAGUAUCUUAAAUAUAUCUAUAUAAAAACUAAGCGAAAUUGUGACCAUAACUUCACUGAGAGGUGCAACGGGAACAUGUUUCUCCUUGGGCCUCUGAAGGUCUAGAGAACUGUCAGAAAGCAGAACUACUUCCUCUACGGGGUGAAGUUUUUGUCACCACUGUAUCGACUAACACCAGAUAGGACUCGGUGUGAGAAUACUUCUAAAGGGAUAUUAAAUGUAGGUAUAUAUGGAGACGAGAGAAUACUGAACUUGAUUCCAUCUUCCGCCAAGGAACAGUGGCAUUUAACUCACCACUGUCAAAAUCAAUGAUCUCUAUUUGCUUUGUUUAAUGUCUUCAUUUGUUUUCCAAAGAUAUAAUUGCACACACACAUUAAAGAAUAGUCCAUUAUAGAAAAAAUAAUGAUCUGUAUAUACUUACCUAAUAUCCCUUUGUCUAGUACACUACAUCUAAUUUAUAAUGCUAGAAUAUUUUCAGUAUUCUGUGCAUUUAAUUUAUAUAUUUAUAUACAGUGUUAUGGUUGAUAUUGAUUUUACUUCUUCACUUGGCAAUGUUAUCACCAAUCUGUUUGGCCAUGGAAAACAUUGAAAACUGUAGGCAUAUUUCUUCUUUUUUUUUAAAGAAGGAACAAAAGAACAGAAAGAUAAAACUUCAACAUUCCUGAAAAUGAGACAUUGUAUGUUUUGUUGGGCUAGAGGGGCCGGGAGCAUGUGUCUUGAUUUUGUUACAAACAAACCCCGCCACAAACAUGUUUGUAAAAAGACGCACAGCCAACGUUGCAGUUUUAAGCUCGAGUCGGGACAUGUGUUUUUGUACUUGAGUGCCCGAAGACACGUCAUGAGGAGGACUGAGGGCGUCUCACUGACCUUGGUCAUCUUGGGCAAACUCCACAGUGAGAGACUGAGACUCUGGCCAGCCCAGUUUAGCCAGAACAGGACUUGGCAUAGUGGGGAACCAGGAGCAGUAGAAGGAGAUGAUGCUCUCCACCCUUUUAUGAAAAAAAGAAACAUUCUAUAUGUAUUUCAGUGUCAGAAAUACUUUUUUGUUUGUUGUAUCAUGUACAGACACAUUUUUAGUAUAUUUUCACAUUAAUAUAUUUAUUGGUGCUGUAAAAUUAUCCAUUUUACAAUAGUAACAUCAUUUUUUGUUUUUAGUGUAACUAUUAACUAUAUUUAUUUAGAAAAUAUAUUGUUUUUUAUUAAACAGAAAAUGCAGAUCUC